AAAACAACACUAUGCUCAGAGAAUCCUAACCCGUCACGACGGUCGCAGAACAAUUAACAAACCAAAUACCGAAUACCAAAAGAGGCUUUAAGCCUUACGUGGCUCUGCAGUUCGAAGUCUCUUGUAUAUGACAAUGCUCGAUAUAAUUUUGGCUUUCAAAAAAACAAACCAAAUACCAAAAGAGAUGCAGAACAAAAAGAAAUCACCAAAAGCCAGAACAUUCUCUCGAGAACAAUCCCUGUGAACCGAAACAGCCAGAGAAGACGACCACGGACGGAUCCUUGCAGACGAAGGUCUUCAAGGAGCUAUCCACAUUCAAAGGAAGACAAAUCUCAUCACACAGAGCAACCAACAGAACAGCAGGAGCCAUCGAAGAAACCAUCCACACGGUCACCAUCACUCCCACCAAGGGCAGCAAAGAAAUCCCGUAACCCCCCACCAAACACGCUUGAGAGUGACCCCUUUGAACCCUCCAUCAAAAGAUCGACACCCCUACGUCCUAGCCAACCGAGGGACAUAACCUUUACACACAUCAAAGACCCACCCACGUCAACCCUUAUCGUCUCAGAGAACCUCCUCGAACCCCGUCGAACCCCCUUCAUUGAAUCCCAAGAGAAAACAAAACCAAAAGCACUCCCCCAGACUAUUCCCCUAAGACAGUCCUAGAAGAUUCUCUCGAGAUAAGCAAACUCCCCCACACCUCCCAAUAUUAGAGAGGAUCAAGAAUUCCCAAGGAGGCAAGAAAUCAACCCACCACCUACACUCCACCUUACAGGAGACCUCAAGCACAUAAUCCAGAAAAGCAAACCUUCCUCCCCAAUUUCAGUUUCAGGUUUGGGGAAUGGCUGCUAAGCCCAAAAAUGUUUUGGUCAUCUGCUGCUUUUGUCUACUAUUGAUGGGAGCGCUCUGCCAGAUCUCUUCAGGAGCAUCGCCGCUCAACUAUGAGACCCUCCACAAGGACCGCAACAGCAGUAGUCCCUGCGGUCCUCAACAGUCAAAAAAUUGUGUGACCGCUCGCCGGCCGGCGAAGGAGCACCAACGGGGUUGUAACAAAAGUAAUGGAUGUCGCACGUGAUGGAGAGGACCUUUAAAUGGCCACAAAAGACAAUUUUGUAAAAAAAAACAUCCCAUUGUCUUUUGAAUUGCUGCUGCCUGCCCUUUCUUUGGUGUGUUUGACAUCUUAGUUUAGUUGCAGUGCAGAGUUAAUUAAAUUUGUUAUAGGCAUUAUUUAUUAUUGCAACGAUGGUUUUUUCCUCUCUA